GCCAGACUCCUACGGGAGGCAGCAGUGGGGAAUAUUGCACAAUGGGGGAAACCCUGAUGCAGCGACGCCGCGUGAGUGAAGAAGUAUUUCGGUAUGUAAAGCUCUAUCAGCAGGGAAGAAAAUGACGGUACCUGACUAAGAAGCCCCGGCUAACUACGUGCCAGCAGCCGCGGUAAUACGUAGGGAGCGAGCGUUGUCCGGAAUUACUGGGUGUAAAGGGAGCGUAGGCGGGGAUGCAAGUUGGGUGUCAAAACUACCGGCUCAACUGGUAGUCGCACUCAAAACUGCAGCUCUUGAGUGAAGUAGAGGCAGGCGGAAUUCCUAGUGUAGCGGUGAAAUGCGUAGAUAUUAGGAGGAACACCAGUGGCGAAGGCGGCCUGCUGGACGAUGACUGACGUUGAGGCUCGAAAGCGUGGGGAGCAAACAGGAUUAGAUACCCGAGUA
rnacentral:rRNA from 1 species